CAGAAGCAACAACAACAGCAGGUGGAGAAAAGCCUGGCUAUCGUGGUUAUUCCAUUUAAUGGGAUACACGAAGGGCUGGAAUACCACGAGCUUGGCCAGGUGGAAUAAGCGAAGCCGCAGCUUACGUUGUCCAACGCCUUUGACCUAAGCCGAUUUUCCAUCGACGUAUGUAAUAUCGCGUGUAUAUAUGUAAAGAAAGCUGAUUGACAAAGCAGAGAAAAUAAAGAGCUAAUAAUUCAAGAAGGAAAAGAAGGAAGAAAGAAAAAGAAAGACAGAGCUCGAAGGGUGCAGAAAAAAUCAAAGGCUUUUGGUGGUUCUUCUUGCUUCGUAAAAUAAGACCGAAAAUCCAAUAUAAAAGCAAUAUCUGAAGUGACACGGCGAGCAGCACGACGGAGUUCCUCUCUUGCCCUAUCAACGGAGACUUCUAAGCGCCCUCGAUUCCAGGAAGCAAUUUUCUUAUGGACGUCUGCAGCUCUUCGUCUCUUCGCUUUUACUUCUUAUAUAUGUAUAUUCUCACCUUCUCCCGUAUCUAUGUAUAUUGAAUUUCGUAAAAGCUAUGGAACGUUAUUCGCGAGAGAAGUGACGUUAACUUUUCAGAUAGAACUACAGGAUAACUCGUUAGUCAAGUGUUGCUUGCUUUUAUCUUCGUUGGCUCGCGUCAAUGUCGCGUUGGUAACGAGAUUUUAUCCAAAGCCGGCUACGUGUCAUUUACAUAUAUCGCCUGGAGGCGGCUUCUACCACAGCUUUUUCUUUCUCUCUCCCUCUCAUCUCUUUAGGGCGAUUUCGAGGGUGUGCUACGAUGGCCGUCGAUUUACAUUUACAAGCAAGACCUUCGCGAAAAGGACUUGAUACGAAUUUAACCAGGAGCAGAAAUGGAAAAGUAAACGCAAAGUUAUCAGUAAGAAAAGAAAAAGAGAAACAAGAAAAAUAGUUCUUAUAUUUUUGGAUGUUUCGUAUGAUUAGGGAGAACAAACGAAAAUGCGAAAGGAAGGAAUUGGUCGAUAAGGGAUAAGGAACAAAGUGACGACUUACCGUAGCUGGACAAGACGAGCUGUCCCUGGAGAAACUACCGAGAGUCACCAGCAAACGACGCGGGGCCCCCAACAUAGACUCUCGCCAUCCCUCUGGAAAGGAAAAGAAAAAGAUAAAUAGCUCAAAGAAAAUUGCAUUAUUUAUCGGCUGACAUCUUUCUCGAUAUUGCGUUCUGCAUCCAUCUUGAUGGAUGGAGACACUACCAGAAACCAACACGCAAUAACUUUUAGAGCGAAUGACGGAAAAAGUGUUCAUCUCUUAUCGAGCAUGGAAUAACUUUUGAAAAAGCGAAGAAAGACCUCUACAUUCUUUAUCGGAUAUUCAGAUGUCAAUAUGCCGAUGCGUACGAAAGCAUAUGAAUAAUUCUGAAGAGAAGAACGCGCGUUAAUGUUUUAUAAUUCAAACAUUCAUAAUUUCAUUGAUAGAUUUCUCCUCUUUUUAUAGAUGCUACAGAUCGUUGAGAUAUUCUUUUAUUUGACACGAACUUUUAACUUUAAGAAAGUUAAAUAUCCUUGAUCGUAAACUAUAAUACGAGUAGGCGUGAAAGAACGUAGGUUACGACAGGCCACAGGGGAGUUUCAUAUUGCUGGAUUAAGUGUUAAACUUCCAUCUUCGACUUUAGCGUUCUCUCUCUCUUCCUCUUCCACCCUAGGGAUCGUUAUCUUCUAUCUCUUACUUUCAUGCCGGUCGCGUCUUAAACCAACCAAGUUAUGGGCGCGACUUUCAUUAAACGGCUUGAUGACGGAUCGCUUUGUCUCCUUCGUAUUAACGAAGCCUGCCGAAAGCACCAAAUUCUGUCUGAUAUUAAGGACCAGGUUCGUCCCUCUCCUUACGAGAUUUCCUCUGUUACGAUUUACUUGUUUGCUUGUUGUCUUAAACAAGACGUGAAAUUGUCGAGAAACUUCAAUGAAAUUAAUCGUAAAGUUUUCACAAGAUUUAUCAGUACGCGAUAGUCAAAUGAUACAAGUGAUGAUUCGAUUCAUAAUAAGAAUUUUAACGAUGAAAUAUUAUCGGCGUUCUUUAAUAAGAUGUAUGAAUACGUAUUGUCGAAUAGGAUGAACGUGUGUGCACGUCAGUAUGAGAGAGCGUGCGAGUGUGUGUGUCUGCAAUAAUAACGUUACGAUACAUCUUUAGAACGGUCUCGUUGCGUGGCCACUAACCAACCUCCGAAUUAAUAAAUCUCAAUUACGUAAGUUGAUAUGGGAGAGAAGGGGUAAUUCUGUCCCCUAGUCUUUGUCAGGAAUGUCGAGGGUGAAGGUAUCUCUAUCGGUCAUUGUUAUCGAGCUCAUGACGAUCAGACUUGUAAAUGAAGGAAAAGAAAUCGGAUAGCAAAUAUGUGGAAACCAUUGGGAAAAUUUUAAUGGAAAACGCACUUGUUCCGAUAAAACUGACAGUCGUAGAAUCUCCAACAUAUAUAAGCAAUAUAUAUGUAGUAUAGAACGUUACGCAAAGAUUCAGAAAAGGAACUUCCAAUGGAACGUUAUUCAUCUUGAUGCCUUUUGAAGAUAAAACGUUCGAAUCGAUUUUAUCCUGGAAAAAUUCGUACGUUGCAGCAGAUUCGUCUAUAAGGGCAAAGUAGGAAGUAAGAAAAGGGCAGUAGAAAGGGAAGAGGGAACGAAAAAAAAAGAAGAACUGAGGAAAAGAGGAAAAAGGGCUGUUUGUAAUAAUUUGGCAUGGUUCGUUUAUUAGUCUCGCAAGACGAAGCCAAGUAUGGAAACAACGAGAAAUUACCUGGAUGCAAAUCGUUCAGGAAGCAUUUAACGAGCGCACAUCCGGUUCGCGGGUUAAAGCGUUUCCUGUUCCUUCGAGAGUUGUCAACCCUUUUGCACUAUGAUUACCACGAAGCUUCACAUAUUUAUAUUAUUUGGGUGUAUGAACAUUGAACGAGUUCGUUUACGCUCGAUUAUUUUCAUGAAGCUUUGAAAAUACGAGAAUUCGUUCGAGUUUCACUCGACCUCUUUUUAGUAAAAUUCUCGACUAGAGUACAUGCCCAAGAAAAUGAAGAAAAAAGUAACAUUCCUGCUUGGCUUUGAUAUUCAUCUUAUAUUGCCAAAAAAGCGUCAAGUAUUUUUUAUCUAAAUAAUUAUAUGAAAACAGAUAGAGGAAAAGAAUACCUGAUGAGAAGAGAUACGAUGUAUCCAUGUGUGCGUGUUAUUUCAAGGGACGAUUUCGUCGUUUCACCGGCUCAUUUUUCCAAGACGAUGUACCAAUUUCUUUUCUCCUCUGUCUUUCACCCUCACCGGCUAGACCAGAGACACGAUCUCAUUUUAUCUUUUCGACCCCUUACACGAUCCACGUUUGUUACAAGCCCCCCCAAACCUCGACCACUAUGCCCACCAUCGUGGCAUAGUCAUCGUCGCUACCGUAGCUCUCUACUCUUCUCUUAUACUUUCGUUCAUCCCUCUUUCGUCUACACCCUCUCACGGCUUGUUCGAGGGUGGCUAUCCUAUAUUCCAAGUCCGACUGACGGUAGAUAGAACACGUCGAUUCAAAAAGACACUUGAACGUGUGCAACUUCAGAUUUUAUUCUUGUUUUUUCUAAUGUCAUUGUCUCUUCUCUUAAGUAGAUAUUGUCUUUUCAAUUGUUACGAACGAUGAUCUGUCGUGAUAGUAGUGGAAUAUUUUUCAUUGUUAAAUAAUUUCCAUCAUAAUGGUUGGUUGAUCAUUAUUAUGCGAUAUGUACGUUAAAAAAUUGAUUUUUAUUCGAGAUAUGACAGAAAUUAUUUUAUAAUGUAAUAUGCGAUCAUUAUUAGAAGUGAAA